GACUGUCGCUGGCCUUUUAACAGAGGCAUGUGCACGCUCUCUUCCGGACUUUCGCCGUAUGGGCGCGGGGCGACCCGCGUCUUCAUAUACCUCUUCGUGUAGAAAGUCUUCGAAUGUUUUACCAUCAUCGAGUCGCGACUUCUAGGAGACGCGAUUCUUUGAGACAAAAGUUAUCACAACUUUCAGCAACGGAUCUCUUGGCUCUCGCAUCGAUGAAGAACGCAGCGAAUCGCGAUAUGUAAUGUGAAUUGCAGAUCUACAGUGAAUCAUCGAAUCUUUGAACGCACCUUGCGCUCCUCGGUGUUCCGAGGAGCAUGCCUGUUUGAGCGUCAGUAAAUUCUCAACCCCUCUCGAUUUGUUUCGAGUGGGGCUUGGAUAGUGGGGGCUGCCGGAGACCUGAACUCGUUUUCAGGACUCGGGCUCCUCUGAAAUGCAUCGGCUUGCGGUCGACCUUCGACUUUGCGCGACAAGGCCUUCGGCGUGAUAAUGAUCGCCGUUCGCUGAAGUGCAUCAAUGAACCGUCCCGCGCCUCCAAUCCGUCGACGCCUUCUGGGCGUCUUCCUUAUAGACGUUUGACCUCAAAUCAGGUAGGACUACCCGCUGAACUUAAGCAUAUCA
rnacentral:rRNA from 1 species